rnacentral:rRNA from 1 species
GACGAACGCUGGCGGCGUGCUUAACACAUGCAAGUCGAACGGAAAGGCCCCUUUGGGGGUCCUCGAGUGGCGAAAGGGGGGGUAACACGCGAGUAACCUGCCCUUGACUUCGCGAUAAGUUCAGGAAACUGGGGCUAAUACCGGAUAGGAAUCCUUUAUGCAUGGUGGGGGUUGGAGCGCUUCGGCGGUUUUGGGUGGGGUUGCGACUUAUCAGCUUGUUGGUGCGGUAGUGGCUUACCAAGGCUUAGACGCGUAGCCGGCCUGAGAGGGCGACCAGGAACAGUGGGACUGAGACAGGGACCAGACGCCGACUGGUGGGGGAAGCGGGGAUUAUGGAACAAGGGGCGUGAGCGGGAGGCAGCACCGCCGAGGGCGGGAGAGUGACGUUGGGGUUGGAGACCGAUAUCAGCAGGAGCGAAGCUUGUAGUGACGGUACCUGCAGAAUAAGCACCGGCUAACUCCGUG